rnacentral:tRNA from 16 species
UCAUGGCUCAGAGGAAAAGCGCGCGCCCAUUAUGGGUGAGGUCACAGGUUCGAAUCCCGUUG